rnacentral:rRNA from 1 species
GAUGAACGCUGGCGGCGUGCUUAACACACGCAAGUCGAACGAAGCAUUUGCGACAGAUUUUUUCGGAAUGAAGUUGCUUAUGACUGAGUGGCGGACGGGUGAGUAACGCGUGGGUAACCUGCCUUGUACUGGGGGAUAGCAGCUGGAAACGGCUGGUAAUACCGCAUAAGCGCACAAUGUUGCAUGACAUGGUGUGAAAAACUCCGGUGGUAUAAGAUGGACCCGCGUCUGAUUAGCUAGUUGGUGAGAUAACAGCCCACCAAGGCGACGAUCAGUAGCCGACCUGAGAGGGUGACCGGCCACAUUGGGACUGAGACACGGCCCAGACUCCUACGGGAGGCAGCAGUGGGGAAUAUUGCACAAUGGAGGAAACUCUGAUGCAGCGACGCCGCUUGAGUGAAGAAGUAAUUCGUUAUGUAAAGCUCUAUCAGCAGGGAAGAUAGUGACGGUACCUGACUAAGAAGCUCCGGCUAAAUACGUG